rnacentral:lncRNA from 1 species
CUCAAGCUGCGGUAGGGCCCUUGGCCGAUCUUCUCUACCCUCAGGCUGGCACCGAAUGAACCUAUCAAGUCGACCUCGUCGGAUGAGCUCCUCGAUCUCAUCUCAAAGUUGGAUGCAUUUCUCCGUGUCGUGGCCAUGGUCGCAAUGGUAGAGGCAGAACUUGUUAGGAUUGCAUUUUUCGGGGUGCGUGCGCAUCCUCUCUGGCCUAGGGAGCUGCUCUCUGACCUCCAUCAGCACCUGGGUUUUCG